UACGUAGGCAGCAAGCGUUGUUCGGAGUUACUGGGCGUAAAGGGUGUGUAGGCGGUCUUCUAAGUCUGGUGUGAAAUCUCCCGGCUCAACUGGGAGGGUGCGCCGAAAACUGGAAGGCUAGAGUGCGGGAUGGGAGAGUGGAAUUCCUGGUGUAGCGGUGAAAUGCGUAGAUAUCAGGAGGAACACCAAUAGCGAAGGCAGCUCGCUGGGACGUUACUGACACUGAGGCGCGAAAGCGUGGGGAGCGAACAGG
rnacentral:rRNA from 1 species